rnacentral:rRNA from 1 species
UACGUAGGAUACGAGCGUUAUCCGGAUUUAUUGGGUUUAAAGGGUGCGCAGGCGGACCGGUAAGUCAUGGGUGAAAAGCUGCAGCUUAAUUGUAGUCGUGCCUAUGAUACUGCCGGACUGGAGUUGAAGGGGUGUAACUGGAAUGUGAUGUGUAGCGGUGAAAUGCAUAGAUAUGUCACAGAACGCCGAUCGUGAAGACAGGUUACAAACUUCAUACUGACGCUCAUGCACGAAAGCGUGGGUAUCAAAC